UAACUCUGGUUUCCCUUCAAAACGUAUAAAUCUUUCGCCUUUUACUAAAGAUUUCCGUGGAGGGGAACGAACACUCAAAUGAGUCUAUUGCAUUUUUGGAAUGCUCCGCUUCGGCGGGGCU